UAGCUCAGGUGGUAGAGCAUGGGACUCUUAAUCCCAGGGUCGUGGGUUUGAGCCCCAC
rnacentral:tRNA from 1 species